GGAGUUUAUCUUACACCUAUGAUGUCACAAGCACUGUACCAUAUCACAAGUAUCUUAUUAACAAAGACUAUAAAGUUUUGAUUUACAGUGGAGAUCAUGAUGCAGUUAUUCCAUAUUUGGGUACAAUGACAUGGAUAAAAUCUCUGAAUUUGUCGCUCAAACGAGACUGGUUACCGUGGUAUGUAGGUGGACAAGUAGGAGGAUAUACAUUGCAGUAUACACAGGGGAAUUAUAACCUAGUGUAUGCAACUGUGAAGGCAAGAUAAAGCAUUUAAUUAUAUUUGACACACUGAUUUAAUUUCUUAUGGAGAAAUUAAAAUAAAUAAUGUAUUAUAAUAUUAUUAAACAUACAGAAGAUUUUCACAGUUCAAAUCAUCAAAUGCAUGGCAGAACAAAAAUCAAUUAUAACAAGGUGAAACAAAAUACAAUGCUUGCUUUUUAAGAAACAAGAACUUUACUCCCCUAAAAAAUUAGUUAAACUUAUAUUAGAUGCUUUCUUAGGUUAUCAUCCAUAAAACCACAAGUUAAUCAAUAUGCCACAAACUCAGAAAUCUAACAGAGCAUGAGAAGUAGGUCCAAAACCAGCAAGUACAUAUAUUGUCGUAUAGAAUUAGACACAUGUUUUUCAGAUAUGUAAAUUAAAACACAUGUUUCUUUGCUCAGAUCUGGAAGAAAUUAGAGUUUCAUUUUGCUUGAAAUGUUAAAAAACAAAGGUACUAUAACUCUG